CCGCUGGCCGGCGGCCGCGCAGCGCUCCGAGGCCCAGGAGGCGGUCCAGGCAGGCGUUCGCCCGGCCCCGUGCGCGCCGCAGUCCCCCGCCCCCGUUCAGUGCGGCAGCGGCUGCGGGCCAGCCAAGAUGAGGAAUCUGGGGCACAGCCAGGUUGAGGAUUCCCUCUGGGCAGUGCAAAAGGAACCUUAUCUCCUGAAACAGAGUAGCAAGAUGCCUCUUCCUUCAGCGUGCGUGCGUGCAUAAUUAGUCGUGUCCGACUUUGUGACCCCAUGGAAUGUAGCCCAUCAGGCUCCUCUGUUCAUGCGAUUAUCCAGGUGCUGUGAGAGCUGAGCACCACUUGAAAACCUUAAUAAGUGACCUUGGCUCCCAAUUCCAGGGACUCAGCUACCCCCAGGUGCAAAGGAGCCAGCCUGUCUGAAGCAGGAAGUGUGGAGAAGAGCCCUACCUGAGAGAAGUCUGGUUUCAGGGGCGGGUUCUCGCGCAGCUCGGGGCUGAGGUACUCAUUGUUGACAUAGUAGCCGACUCGGAUGAACUCCUGUCCAUGGGGAUCUUCCCAACCCAGGGAUCAAACUCGCAUCUCUUGCAUUGGUAGAGGGGUUCUUUACCACUGAGCCACCUGAGAAGCAAGGUGGAGAGCGGGAUAAAAUGAGGCUGAAGAGGUGAGCAGGUAGGUAUCAGUGAAUUAAAUAAAGGCUUGGGAAAGGUUGAGGAUGUUUAGCAGGAGAUAGGUGUGGCAUUGCUCAUUCCAUCUGAAAAUUCGACUCUGGAGGUCAGUGCAGCUGCAAUAGGAAAAGAGCUAAGUGGGAGGUGGGAGACCAGGCAGGGGGCUACAGAAGUCAUCCUGGAGAGAGGGCAGUGGCUUAGACCAGGCCUUAGAGAAGGACAGAAGUGGACAGAUUUCGGGGGGUGUUGCUAAGGACAGAGCACAGAUGGGAUCUGAGUAGUUCAGUGUGCAUGCUCCUACUUGAGGCAGAACCAGGCAAUCUCAGACUAAACGUGUUUUUUUUUUUUUGCCGUCUCUAAGCCACAGUUUCUUCGUUUUUGUUGUUAAUUUUGCUCUUUAAAAGGGCCCUAAACGUGGUGCCGAGUGAGGGCUGCCGUGUUCCUAAGAGCAAGGAGGGAUGUACCUUAUAGAGAAAACACAUAUGUUAGGUAAGCUCUGCUCAGGCAUGAGUUAUAGUCCUGUGGGCCAUGUGUUCACUGUGAAUAAAUCCAAAAUAAGGUGUCUUUAAACAGAAAAACACAUAAAACAAGAUUAUGUAUUGACUGGCUGACAAAAAUGUUGACUUGCAGAAACCUAACACUGUAUUUCCUCUAGGGCAGGGAUUCCCAACCUCCCGGAUCUAAUGCCUGAUGAUAUCUGAGGUGGAGCUGAUAAUAGAAAUAAAGGGCACAAUAAAUGUAACGUGCUUGGGUCCAUGGGAAAAUUGUCUUCCCGGAAAUCAGUGCCUGGUGCCAAAAAGGUUGGCGACAGCUGCUCUACGGGCAAUGGUUUGGGAUUCAUUAAAUUCAGUGUCCACAGCAACUUUGCAGAACUCCCGUGAGUAACAAGAAUCAGCUAUAAAUUGGUGGCUCUCGGUAACAGCUAUGACGUAAUAGAGAUGGGAGAUGUCUGAACUGCCUUUGAGAGGUCAGACAGUGCUUGAGAGGAUCUGAACCUGAACUUGGACCAGUGAACCAUCUGUGUGCUUUUGUGUCAGAGAGGACGUUUCUAGGUGUCAGGGUCCAAGGCCGAGUCUUUCUUACCUGAAAGACGAACAUGUGUCUCCCUGCCGGGACAGGGCCAACCAGCACUGAGUCUAGGAUUUGAUCAAACUCC